AGUGAACGCUGGCGGUAGGCCUAACACAUGCAAGUCGAACGGCAGCACAGUAAGAGCUUGCUCUUACGGGUGGCGAGUGGCGGACGGGUGAGGAAUACAUCGGAAUCUACUUUUUCGUGGGGGAUAACGUAGGGAAACUUACGCUAAUACCGCAUACGACCUACGGGUGAAAGCAGGGGAUCUUCGGACCUUGCGCGAUUGAAUGAGCCGAUGUCGGAUUAGCUAGUUGGCGGGGUAAAGGCCCACCAAGGCGACGAUCCGUAGCUGGUCUGAGAGGAUGAGCAGCCACACUGGAACUGAGACACGGUCCAGACUCCUACGGGAGGCAGCAGUGGGGAAUAUUGGACAAUGGGCGCAAGCCUGAUCCAGCCAUACCGAGUGGGUGAAGAAGGCCUUCGGGUUGUAAAGCCCUUUUGUUGGGAAAGAAAAGCAGCAGGUUAAUACCCCGCUGUUCUGACGGUACCCAAAGAAUAAGCACCGGCUAACUUCGUG
rnacentral:rRNA from 1 species